GCGCGAAACACUUCGGUGUGAGUAGAGCGGCGGACGGGUGAGUAAUGCUUGGGAAUCUGCCCAGUAGUGGGGGAUAACGUGUGGAAACGCACGCUAAUACCGCAUACGUCCUACGGGAGAAAGCAGGGGAUCUUCGGACCUUGCGCUAUUGGAUGAGCCCAAGUCGGAUUAGCUAGUUGGUGGGGUAAUGGCCUACCAAGGCGACGAUCCGUAGCUGGUCUGAGAGGAUGAUCAGCCACACUGGGACUGAGACACGGCCCAGACUCCUACGGGAGGCAGCAGUGGGGAAUAUUGCACAAUGGGCGAAAGCCUGAUGCAGCCAUGCCGCGUGUGUGAAGAAGGCUCUAGGGUUGUAAAGCACUUUCAGUAGGGAGGAAAAGCUUAAGGUUAAUAACCUUGAGCCCUGACGUUACCUACAGAAGAAGCACCGGCAAACUCCGUGCCAGCCGCCCGGGGUAA
rnacentral:rRNA from 1 species